AUACUCUGUUUUCUCUUCAGAUCACAAAUCUUUCCCCUUUUAUUAAAGAUUUCUUUGGAGAGGAAGAAUUCUGAGUCUUAAACAAGGUUUUGAGUCCUUAUUUUUUACCAGGGC